ACUGACUCUUUCGAGUUAAGAAAAAUAUUUCAUAUUGUCCUGAUAAAAAAAGAAAAAAAUUCAUUACUCUGGAACUGCUUUUCAGCUUGUGAAAAGGUUCAUGAAAUGAAAGAUAAGGUAUGUUGACAUCCAAAGGUGCCUGUAGAAACUAGGUCCUGAGUUAUGUAGGGAGACUGUCUUGUUUGCCGAAAUCUUUGCGUUGAUUUUGUGAUGAAAAAUGGUAUUGUUUCUCCAAAUCUGACGGAUAUCUGGAGAAGGAAAAGAAACCCUGUUCUCCUACGAUGAUUAUUGGCCAGUUCUGUGAUAUUUACUGUCGAGUAUGACCUUUGGGAGCUUGAGAAGGUGGGAAGCUGACCUGCCUUCUGCCACUAAGCAGGGACAGGAGGUUGUUUCCACUUUCCAGAGCGGUGGGCACAGAGAUCCCGGAAUCUUUCAAAAUUGGAUUAGAGAUGGUAGGAGUUUAUCACGGGAGAGUCAUUAGUCUUGCAUUAGUCGUAUACCAAAUUAAUCUUCUUCGUGAACUUAAGAUAAGAAUUUUCUAUCAAUUCAUCAGCUCUGAUGAACUGACCUACACUCGUAGGUGUGAAGCACAUACUCUAACCAUGUGAUGCUCCCAGAUUUCUAUGAUUUUAUCACGGAAAAAUAUGAUCCAUCUUAUCCUCAAAUAAUGCAAAAAUUUUAAGAGAUACCCUUUUAAUGUUUUACUUCUCUAUGAAGCCUGAUGAUUUUGCAAUCACGACCUUGACACAAAAUCCUAUUUUCAUAGGUUAAUUUAAGUUUUUACAAUUUAUGCUCACGAUGAAAAACAUGAUACAUGUACCCUGGGAUCUUGCGUUCUGCACAGGUAGUAAAAUUAAGGAAGAUUGGAGUGUGCACCAGUCAGGGAUUUGUCAGCGCAAUUUUCAAACUAAAUUUGAAGAUACUCCUGGCUCAGCAAGAGUGGAAUAAAAACAUUAACAUUGAGUUGCAAACACUAAAUGCUUAUGUUUUCAUCAUAUUUCUCCCUUCCUGGCCCUCAAUAUGAUAUACUGCUUUAUGUUUGCAAAACUUUGACUGCCAAAUUCGGCCUCAAAUAGGACAUAAAUGUGCUGAAAAUAAAAUGACACGUUUAGCAAAAUGCUGCAUGCUGAAUUUUGUGAGAAGUGUGAUGAACCCCUAGAGUGAGAC
rnacentral:lncRNA from 1 species